rnacentral:lncRNA from 1 species
AGACUUUGUAAAAAAUAAUUUCAUGUAUAGACAGACUAGUUGAAAAACUAUCUACUAUGCGUUAAUGCAAUAACUUUUUCUACUAUAUUUGAUGCUGGUUUUGUUUUGCAAACAAAACACAAUUCUGUCAUUAGAUCUUCAUGAUGGAAACAUGUUUCAUUUCGAUAAAAAUAAUACCAAAUUGACAAUUGCAUAUCAAUGCUGCUCAGUACAGGUAUUAUGAAUUACAAGCCUACCAUAUAUUUUAUCAUCUCAGUUAGGAAUAAGUGUUGUCUUUUUGGGUCAGCACAUGACUUUCUACAUUGUUAUAGUCAUGAAGCAAUACAAUUAUUUUCUAAAAGAUCAAAAUACAAGUAAGACAAUUUCAUUCUCCUGUAAAAAAAAAAUUAUAGCCAAACAAAUUCAUUUUAAGAAAUAGUUGAUAUAACAAGAGCAUAUACAUAUAUGUAGAGCAAAUGAGAUUCUUUGCAUGAUAACUAACUUAAAAUAGUACACAGUUUAAAAAGGCCUCUUAAAGAUGAUGACUUAGAGAUACACUGCUAAAAGAUGUUCUUUGUCAAACUGAAAGCAGACGUAAUGCUCACAAAAUGUCUGAUUCUACUUUCAAAGACAAGAAUGAGAUCAUUAUAAGAAUGAAACAGAAAUGGUGUAUGAAACUGUUUAACAUAUUUACCUACAUGACUUGAAUCUUCCAUGAUCAUUCAAACAUGAUAGGUGUUACCAAACACUAUACCCUGAUAUGCAGCUGAUUGUGUUUAUAGGUUUGUAUUUUGAUUGAUAAGUAUCUUUUAAGUUACAUUCAAGACAUGGUAAACAAUGAAAUCAUACUUACAUACAUGUUAAUUGUUUUUGCAGUGACAAAGCCUAUGUGUGCUUAUGAGAUGAAAACCACAAUCAAUUUUUUUUAUCAAUCAGUAAUAUAAGUAAAUCAAGAGUUUCUGUGGAAAAAUCCUUACAAAAUUUCUUAGAGCCACUUUUUCUCAUGUGAAAAAACAAAAAAACAAAAUUUUAUGAAGUAAAAAAUGUACAAGCUAUAUAUUUCCUAAAAG